UCAACAUGCAUUCCUUUGAAUGGUAGCUUAACAACCCAUCACAAAAUGGUAGUUACGGAAGAUGUAUACAAGAGGAGACGACAACAUGUAGUCAAUUUAAAACACAAGUAUAAGAAUUAUACUCUGCUUUAGUGCAAGCCAUUCAAAAAGCAUACUUGAUUCAAGUUUGGAUAUGAGAACAUCGUGACAAAAGUUUCUCUUUUUAGGAUUCGUCGAUGCCUCACCGUGCACCUCUCCUAGUCUCCCUUUCCUCCGUACAUUUUUCGCAUCCUCAAUUUCUCCUAGCGUUCCUUCAAACAAGAAAAUGAGAAGAUAUUUUUUUCAAGGGGCAUCAACAUAGAACCAUGACCUUCGCAUCUUCUUGAAGACUAUUGGCGAGUGAACCUUCAUGCGGAGCCAUGUUUUCCAUUGACAACGUCCUCCGCCCUGGCCUAUAUCACACAAGUUCUUUUCCAUCAGAUCUACCAUGCCAUAUAACAAGAUGAUUUAAGAAUGAACGUGUAAGUGUUCCUAGCAUGAAAAGCAUAGCAAAUUCGAGUGCCAGAACAUAACAGUGAAGUUGUACACUUUCAUGCGGAGUUGAGCUUCAAUACAAUACCAGAGCUCUAUCUUCAGCGAACUGGUAAUAUGAAAUGAUGAGCACGAACUUAACUUUGGUUGUUCAGUUCCAAUUAUGAUGCCCAAUUCAGUUGAUGUUACCACGGAGAAUUAUAUAACAAGCAUUGAGUGUUAAGUAGCUUGAAACCUUAUACUUAAGGUCACUUGUCUAUCUGAUUGUAAAUGACAGGAUGCAAUAUUACAUUAUCAUUACUUAAUUGAAGACUAUAAUUAUAUUUGCAAUUGUUAUUAAAGCAAUCUUCAUACACAAAUUCUAGAGCAUCAGAUUUCUCUUCGUAUAGAAGGUCCUAAAAUCAGUGAGCUCUAGAAACUUCAGGCAGAAAAUUAUCGCGAGGGCAUAAAAAUUGAAGUAUAAUUCGAAGAAUCAACCCAGGAAACUACAACCAGGAACCAUUUUAUUUCGGAUUCAGUUCCUAAUUUUUUUAAUAUUGACUAUCUAGUGUGGAAAAGAGUGAUUUAUAACCUCUGUGUCCAUAUCAGUAUGUCCCAGUUUCAGUCGUCAUCAUUUCAGUUACAG
rnacentral:lncRNA from 1 species